rnacentral:rRNA from 1 species
GAUGAACGCUGGCGGCGUGCCUAAUACAUGCAAGUCGAGCGAACAGACGAGGAGCUUGCUCCUCUGACGUUAGCGGCGGACGGGUGAGUAACACGUGGAUAACCUACCUAUAAGACUGGGAUAACUUCGGGAAACCGGAGCUAAUACCGGAUAAUAUAUUGAACCGCAUGGUUCAAUAGUGAAAGACGGUUUUGCUGUCACUUAUAGAUGGAUCCGCGCCGCAUUAGCUAGUUGGUAAGGUAACGGCUUACCAAGGCAACGAUGCGUAGCCGACCUGAGAGGGUGAUCGGCCACCCUGGAACUGAGACACGGUCCAGACUCCUACGGGAGGCAGCAGUAGGGAAUCUUCCGCAAUGGGCGAAAGCCUGACGGAGCAACGCCGCGUGAGUGAUGAAGCUCUUCGGAUCGUAAAACUCUGUUAUUAGGGAAGAACAAAUGUGUAAGUAACUAUGAACGUCUUGACGGUACCUAAUCAGAAAGCCACGGCUAACUACGUG